GGCUGUAACUGGAGGAGAAUGCUGCAGGUUAGCUGCUCACACUGUUGUGUCUCACACGUUUCUCUCCACACCCGGGGCAUGAAGAGGCUGGGCCUGCCCUCCAGGACAGCUCCAGCCCAUUUUGGCAGGGGUUGUGUAGCUUUUCCUGCUGGGCUGCCACACGUGCUGUUGUCAUCACUGUGCAGGACUCAGAGCAGCAGCAGGGAAGGGAUGAACACCACAACACAGGAAUACAACAGAGAGGGAGUUUCUCACUGUGCACUCCUGUAGCCACAGCAUCUCUCUCAGGGCUUUCCAAAAAAACCCAAAACAAACAAUGUAAAGCACCUCAUCAAUAGGUGUAGCUCCCAUUUUGCAGCUGUGAAAACACAGGUAUGGACAGAUUAAGUCUUGAUCCCAACAAAGGAAAUGACUGAAUCAGGAGCUUGAGUACUGGUGCUGGUUCAGUACUCAAGAAAUGGCUCCAGAAAUAUAUAACCUUAUUUUUCAAAUUCCUUAAAGUUCCUUUGGUUGAUGAACAACUCUACUUCCAUAUGGCCCAACUUAUUUAAAACACUUUUUAAAGGGGGAAAUUAAACUCUGUCUGAAUCAAAAUGUAACUGGGCUGUGACCCAAAAACUCAACUUGUAUUUACACGAAUAAGCAAUAAAAAAAAUAAAUUAAAAGAAAAAAAAAAAAAA